rnacentral:rRNA from 1 species
AUUGAACGCUGGCGGCAGGCCUAACACAUGCAAGUCGAGCGGGGUUUUCGGACCUAGCGGCGGACGGGUGAGUAAUGCGUAGGAAGCUGCCCGAUAGAGGGGGAUACCAGUUGGAAACGACUGUUAAUACCGCAUAAUGUCUACGGACCAAAGUGUGGGACCUUCGGGCCACAUGCUAUCGGAUGCGCCUACGUGGGAUUAGCUAGUUGGUGAGGUAAUGGCUCACCAAGGCGACGAUCUCUAGCUGGUUUGAGAGGAUGAUCAGCCACACUGGAACUGAGACACGAUCCAGACUCCUACGGGAGGCAGCAGUGGGGAAUAUUGGACAAUGGGCGCAAGCCUGAUCCAGCCAUGCCGCGUGUGUGAAGAAGGCCUUCGGGUUGUAAAGCACUUUCAGCGGGGAGGAAGGGGUGUGUGUUAAUAGUACACACCUUUGACGUUACUCGCAGAAGAAGCACCGGCUAACUCUGUGCCAGCCGCCGCAGUAACAC